rnacentral:misc_RNA from 1 species
GAUGAAGAACGUAGCGAAAUGCGAUAAGUAAUGUGAAUUGCAGAGUUCAGUGAAUCAUCGAAUCUUUGAACGCACAUUGCGCCCGUCAGUAUUCUGACGGGCAUGCCUGUCCGAGCGUCAUUUCAACCCUCAAGCACUGCUUGGCGUCGGCGGAUUGCGUGCCCUCGCGGCGCUGCAACCGCCCAAAUACAGUGGCGGUCCCGCUGCGGCUCCCUUUGCGUAGUAACUCACCUCGCACUGGACCGGGCGGCGGCCUGCCGUAAAACCCCAACUCACGAAAUGUUGACCUCGGAUCAGGUAGGAAUACCCGCUGAACUUAAGCAUAUCAAUAAGCGGAGGA